CCUACACCACAGCUCAUGACGACACUGGAUCCCUGACCCACUGAGUGAGGCCAGGGAUCGAACCCACAUCCUCAUGGGUACUAGUCAGAUUCGUUUCUGCUGAGCUAUGACGGGAACUCUGAAUGGAUAGUAUUUAAAGCCACAGCUCCAGAUGAGAUCAGCAACAAAAUGGUUGUAGAUAGACAGGACAGGAGGCCACAGACGGAGUCAUGGGCAGUCUGGAGUUUGGUGAGCUGAAGGACCAGCAGACUAACAAUUGCAACUUGGUGUGGUAAGUGCAGUGGGCGUGGGGUCCUAAAUGCAGUAUGUUCUUGGGCAAAACUCCUUUGUUGGUUUGUUCCUUUUGCUACCUGUCUGUCCUCUACUGUGUGCCUCACACUGUUUUAAGCAGUAGCCACGCCAGUAAAUAAACACAUUUUAGUUGCUGGGGGAAACUGGGGACAAUAGAUAAUAAGAAAACAAGAAAAUAUCAGCAGUGGUCUUUUUUUUUUUUUUUUUUUUUCUGUGCCUGAGGCACGUGAAAGUUCCCAGGCCAAGGACUGAACCGGAGCCGUGGCAGUAAGCAGAGCCAUAUCAGUGACAGUGCCAGAUCCUGAAUCCACUGUGCCACCACCAGAGAACUCCAGCAGUUGUCUUAUCUGUUCCUCCUCCUCAAGUUUGUUGUAAGGAUUUAAUAAGAUAAUGCUCAUGAAGUACUUACUUAUCUCAGUGCUUGGACCAAGAAAAUGCUCACUUGCAUAUUCCUUGGUGUGAUUUGGGUCCUGUCAUCAUUUGCCUGGCAACAGACAGUUAGUUCCCUCUUUCUCCCAGCAGUCGUGCUUCUGCAUGGUCUUUCCAAAAUGUUCAUCUUACUGUGUCACGUCUCUUAAAAACCCUGGACCUGCCUGUGCUCUCUGGCUUCUGUGGCUUUGUGUAGGCUCUCUGUCUUCUCUAUUGUCCCUCCCUCCCUGGUUUUUUACUCUUAUUCCUUCUUAUCUUUUUCUUGGAGAUGACCUUUCUGAUGAAGGCUGCCCUGCCCUCUCUCUGCCCCCUCUUUUCUCUCGUGGGUUUUAUUGCCUGUGUUGUUUAUUCAAUGCGCCCCCAUUAGACUGUAAGCUCCAUGAAAGCCAGGUCUGUUAGGUGUUGUAUACCAGAGCCUGGCUCCAGUUGGAGCCUCAGUAAAUGUUUGUUGAAUGAGUUGGACGCCCACCUGCUCAUAGUGCAUGCUCUGUUCUCUCGCUGCGCUAGGAUAUCACGAGGCUGUCAAAUUAAGAUGUAGCACGUCACCAGCGUUUUCUUUAUCUUCCCAUUUUAGCUUGACAUUUUAUUGUGAAGCGUCGUUAGGGGAAAGUAAAACUUUACUUGGAUAAAGAUUUGCUUCCAAAUUAUAUGAAAUGAAUAAACAUAUCCCUGGAGUGUUUUAAGUUGGCAAGUAUGGUGAUCUAGUAUUCAACAUACGCUUUGUGUUAUUAUUAUAAUUUACUUACUGACCUUAAAAGGAGAAAAUGAUUUUCUAAUAACAGUCUCUGAAGAUUGUCAUUUGAGUGGAUUUCCUUACUCAUAACCCCUAUCUUUAAGACUAUGGAUUUACGAUGCAGUUAUUAACAUGCCUAAAUUAGAAGAUCAGCUGCUGUGGGGCUACGAGUUUAGCCGUAGAAAAAUUGUUGUGUAACUGUGUAUAUUCACAUGGAAAGGGCUGAAGAAUUUCCAUGAGUGUGGAACUCAUCAGAGACCAGGCCUUUGGCAUCAACAGCAACUUACUGCUGAGUCAGAUGGCAUUCUGAGCAGACCAAAACAUGGGAAAUUUUCAUUUCAGUUAUGAUUCAGGAAAAUGAGUCGCUGGUGUUCACUGUAAGUUCAUUUAUGAGGUCAGGCCCUCAGAACUGGGAAUACUGCUAAUCACAUGGAAGUGAAAGAAGAAUCUAAUUUCUCAUUCAGGGGCCAGCAUAAGUAUCUAGAGAGAGCAUUCUGGGCCUGAGCUGAGUUUGGUGGUUCUGGGCAGCUGAUCAACCGGGAAGCACCUAGCAGGUGCGUAAAGGCUCUGCUUAGUACCAAGGUGGCCUUUUUCAACAGUCGGGGCAGACUUUCAUAUUCAUCCGGUCAAAUCUCCCUUCCCCAGCCCUUAUUUUAUCUUCACAGAAGUUGAGAGGGUUUGCAGACUAUGCAGUCCUAGUUUACAGAGAAAGAACGACAUCCCAAGCAGUUAAUCGGAUAAAGCCAGGGCCAGAAUCCAAAUCUGAUUUUGUUUUCUUUAUGGAGACACCCGGGCUCACUGGGCUGCACGAUGAGUGUUUCAGUUAGAAGUGGAAUCCUCCUGGAUUCAUGGCAGAUGAACACCAGGCUAGGGGCCGAGGCUUGGGUUUCAGCAGCUGGGGAAGUUUUUAGAGAUCCGUGUUUCUUAUUUCUGAUUCAUUUGCUGCCCUCUGACAAAUAACUUUCUGAGACAACAAAUCCUUUUUAGGAGGAAGGAAGAGGGAGCUACUAUUUCUUAGGGUCUUUUGUGUGUCAGGUACGGUGCUGGGCACUUUCUACACAUUAUUUAGUCAAAUCCUAAUGACAAGGCUGCAAAGUGUUAUCUCUGUUUUCUAGAUGUGGAAACGGAUGCAGAGGUUAAGUCGUCAGGGCCCCACAGCCAAGGGGUGGAGCUUCGGAUUUGGUCCAUGGCUCUCAGCCUCCGAUGUGGCCCUUGGGGAGCCAGGAGUAUGACUCCAGUUCUGCACUUAAUCCAUUGUUCAUUUUGCUCGUGCACGUCCCGGGUCGUGUGUGACUGAUCCUGGGUCCUGAGUUCUCAGAGGUCAUGUCUGAGGUGGUCCCUGCUCCUGGAGAGCUUCUACUCCUGGUAUCCUGGUUAACCCAUCUCUGUGCCUAUAGGGAUUGCUCUUGCAACAAAGAAGCAGAGGCCAUUCUGAUGGGAGCCAAGCAGACAGCAGAGGCUGGGGGAUGCUUUGACUUUGCCAGCACUUGGCCACAGUCCAACCUAGUCUCAAUUCACAGAUGAUUCAAGCACUGAGGAAGGAAGGUAAGCUUUUCUCGCUCCCUGGAGAAAAGCCUGUUUCUACUUUGGAAACUUUAGGGGUUCAUUUAAAUUUGCCACAGCCCUGGGGUUAGUGGAUCCAUAUGCUUUUUCCUGCCAUUUUCAUUUCAUUUCCUUUUCUCCUUUUCAUUUGAAAUGGUGCCAACUCUCAGAGCCUCAGUUUCCUCCUUUGUCAAAUAGGGACCACACCUUCUAAGUGCAGGUUUUUGUGAGGCUGGAAAAAUAGCAAACCACUGACACAGGUCUCCAUAGUGUUAAUUAUCUUUCGUCCUACUUACAAACUCCCAUUCUUUUGCUGCCCAUGUUUCCAUGGUUUAUAAAUAGGGAUGGUGAGGCUUUCGCUCCACAGAACACACCUCUCUCCAGGUGGCCUUCUCAGCCUCAUGGUAGGUCUCUCCUCCUGGCUGUUAGCUCCCAGGAGACAGACCUUGCUCAGCAGAAAAGCUGUCCCAAACAUCAUUCUCUUUGGGUUAUGCAUGUACCCAUUGAGGGGUGAAGGACUGGGAGCAAGAUGAAAGACCCUGGGCCAGCAGCUUGGCUUUGGCUGUCAAGUAGAUCCAACUUCAGGUCCUGGCUGCACCAACAUCCCAGCUGUGGGGCCAUUGGUAAAACGGUUUAAUCUUCUCAAGGAGCUACUUCCAAGGAAGUCUUGGUUGUGGGGAUUUAUAUGGGCUGCCCAGCUUCUCAGGGGAUCUGGAGGGCCUAGUCAAUCCAGAGCGAAACAUCUCCCACUUUGCUUUGUAAAACCUCCCUCACACCCAGGUUUCACCUCAGACCAAUAACUCAGAUUCACCAGAGAUAGGACCCAGGAAUCCAUAAUUUUGAAAGUUCCCUGGUGAUUGCAGAGGUGGCAGAGGUUGAGAACCUGUGCCCUCCGCCCUCCCUCUGGAUGGCCAUCGAAGCCAUUUCCGGUCCCACUCCUGCGCCACAGCCAGCUGUGCCUGUGAUGUCUGCUUACGCAGUGUGCUCUGGCCACCUGCUCUGUUGUGAUGCUCUCAGGAGUGACUGGGCAGCACAGAUGUCUGUGUGCAUGUUAACAUAGCUGGGGGGGGGGUGUUUCCUGCUUGGAUUCGAUAGCUAGCUCAUAGAGCAGGUCUGCCAGGGUAGGAUUAUUAUAAAUUCCUCUUCCAGUCACUGCUUCCAGACACUCUGUCCAGGUGUCUCACACCUUUUAUCUAGCGCUGUGACAUUCCCAUCGUGGCAGACACUGUUGGUGGUUAUCCUAAUAUCCAGUCUCUUCCUUGUCCUCACCAGCAUCUCCUGUAUUGUUGGGAGCUGCAGUGCGCUCAGCUAAAAUCAACACCAGCUACAUUGUCCAACUACUUAUCUAGGAGUGGCAGAUGUAAAGAGAGAUGUAAGCAGAACUCGUAGGGUGAAGCUUCUAGGAAGGGUCUCUAAAAGGUGGCUUUCUUCAGUUGGGAGGCAGGAGUCCUUGGGUCCUUAACCAUCUUUUUUGCUGCCCUGAAUAUGGAUGUAUUGACUGCUGCUCCAGCAGCCAUUAUGUGCUCAUGAGGUGACCUUGUAGACGAUGCCAUAUGCUAAAGAUGGCAGACCAGAAUAUAGAGGGAGUUUGGAUUUUGAUGAGAGGUGUAGAGCUACCAUUCCUGCCUUGUACUAUCUAUUAUCUCUGGAGUUCAUGUUACAUGAGAAAAAAAUUCAGCCCCUUGCUUAAGAGACUCUUAUUUCUGGUCUUUGCUACUAGCCCCUGAGUUCAGUUCCUGAUAUCCCCUUGAGUAAGCCAAGUGUAUGAGGCAGUUCAACACAUGUCAGUGUCCGUUAUAUCGCUGCCUCCUCCAUCCCCUCACCCCAGCCCUACACUGCUCUCCUCUGAUAAAUAACUGGAAAUCAAGCCAUGAGGUUGUUGAAGUUUGGUGGGAUCUCAGUCACAAGCAAGUGAUGCAUGGACCAUGCCCAGCCUACAGAUGAGUUUUGUUUGGCUCACACUUACGUUUUUAAAAACACUCUGAACUUGUUGCCAGCAUUUGAAAAUCUGGUGAUUUCACACAAUCCUGAUUUCUUAGAAAAUCUUGAGCCAGAGUUGUCUUUCCUUUGUGGCAACAAUCAGCUGCCGCUGAGUAUCAGCUGCCCCUGAGAUGACGACCCUGGAUCAUCACAGCUCCCCUUCCCUCGUGUCACCUGUGUGGCCCUGAAGGCACCUGAGUGUGCAGUCUCCCUUCUCCCUGCCAAGCCCACACCCCAGAAAUGGCCUCCUACAACGGAAUUCCUGCAUUUCCUGCCCCUUUGCUCUUUUCCAGUCUCCCCUGACUCAGCACAUAGCACAUGGGGGUUUUUUGGUUUUGUUUUCUUCUCUCAGAAAACUGAGCAUAUAUUUUGAGAAGCGGCGAGAAAUCAGUCUCCCAAAGGUCAGAAAACAGCUGAUGUUGCUUGACUUUCCUCUUCGUGUGUCUUACUGACAACAAGAGGGAGAACCGCAGGCUCCCUGGGGAGCAGCUGUUGGGCGGCACCGAGGCAUCCAGAGGACCAUUAAAUUGAGUAUGAAUGUGGAUAGCUUGGAACGGCUUUUAUUUAUUACUGUGUUGUGAACUGACCUGGGUCUUGAGAGCGGCUUCACCUCAGCUGGCUGGUGCUGAGACGACCCUCGAGGUUCUUAAAUGGCAGGACUGGCAAGAUGCACGUUAGCGUCUCUGGGCUCAUGAAGUAACCUGUGUGCUUCUCUGAAAACCUUAGUGGCUGUGCUGCCACCUUCAGCUGCGGUGACCCUGCUGGAGCCAUUAAGCGGAGUCUCUAUUGCUGUCUGGGAAAGCUGCAGCUGCAUGCCAGCCCCAACCCCUGGGAAGACGCUCCAAGACCGGCACUUAGGCACACAAAGGAGGAGUCAUGUGAGCACCCAGCAAGACAGCAUCCACCUACAACCCAGGCCAAGACACAAAGGCCUUAGGCUGGAACCGCCACUCUGGUACCUUGAUCUUGGACUUCCCGGACCUCCAGAACUGUGAGAAAUAAACUUGUUUCAUCCAACCAGUGUUGUAUUAUGGUAGCCUUAGACCGACAUAUAGAUGCUGUUCUAUAAUAGUAACCCAGUUUCGUGGUGUUUGCUCUUUAAAAAAUUUUCAUUUUGGCAAUUCUUGCUUACAGUGCCUCCUCUUUUUUUUUUUUGGUCUUUUU